CUGUGACAAGCCUCUGGUCCCUCGGCUCCGUAAUCUUCGUGUGAUGGUCGCUGUUGUUAGCGCACAGAUUCCAGCCCCAUUUCCCAGCAGCUGGGUGAGAACAAACUCAAACUGUGUUUACAGCUGCAAAACAUCAGCUGGAAUGUGGUGAACUCAUAGCAACAGUAAACGGCUGUCUUUUCUACUGCCUUUACAAUUAUUCCAAACACAGACAGGCAAACAAUAGCCAGCGAUUAGCACGAAACUGGCACCUCCCCAAGGGGUGGCAGCUCAUAGCAGGACCACAGGGUUAGAAAGAAUACCGCAGUCCACCAAGAGUACAACGGCCUGCAAAAUGGACUAGAGGAAACAAAGCUGAAAGAUGCAGGGUGUGUAAAGCUUCACCACAUUACGAAAAAAAAAGAACAAAACCCACAACAGGCACAGCAAUCUAAUAGGCACAGACUCUACCACGGCUCAUGUAGCACGCUGUGCAUGAACGUCCUGAGGAGCUCAAAAGCCGUUUUGUGCUUCACUAUGGUGUGAUGCACGGCACGGCACGGCACUUGCUCCCCCAGGGCAUAGUGGCAUUGCUAGAGGUCUUGGCAGGUAAGAGAACAGGCUAAUAAUAAAGUCUGCCAUUUAUUCCACAAAGGGCAUCUCAGUGGAAAGUAGACAAGCCCCUCUGGGUGACAUGGCAGCUGGGAAAAAAAGACCAAGAUGUUCCCUACUAUUCAUCCCACUACAUAUGGGACUGCUCCCACUAUAUCCAGGCCUCACAUCCUUCAUAAGGGCAAAUCCUGUGAAGCAGAGAUAUGUUAAAAGAGAGCAGUCUGACAGCCGGGGACGGUGAGAGAGCAAUCCAGCCGCAGAAAUAGCAGGGUUGCUACGACAACCAGGCAGCGCACACCAGCGACAAAAUGGCGUCACUAGCAACAGACAUCUUAAGCUGGAUUUCUCAACUAACCUUGACAGGUUUGUGUGUCCUGUCCUGUUUGCUGUAGGCUGCACGAUUCCAGUGGGUGGGUUUGGGGAUGACAUUACGUGGUGCCGGCAUCUCUAGCGGACUUUUCCCACCUCCUCUCCGAGUCUCCCUGCUUUGCUCA